rnacentral:lncRNA from 1 species
CCUUCCAUAUCCUAAGGUAUCUUAUUAUAAGGUCCAUCAUAUGUUUAUAUUUUGCAGUUACUUCAGUAUGCUGACAUUUAUCUUGGCCAAGUGCAGGAUAUUACUACAGCAUUUCCAAGUUUCGCAGUAACUGAAUUUGAGAAGAUUCCAACAUAAAUAGAAUAUGAGUAUAAUUUAGAGAUUUAUGUAUUUAGGCAAUGUUUGUUUGCAAGGAUUAUACUUGGGAUAAGACUAUUAAUAUCAAGUGUCUUGUUUAUUUUCAAAUUUAGACUUGAGACUAUUAGUUUAAGAAUUAUAAAAUGACUUAAUAGUUUUGGGAUUAUAAUUAUAAUUUUGGAAUUAUAAUGUUAGGAUUAAUAGUCUUAAAAUUAUAAUUACAUAGAUUAUAAUUCUUGCAAAUAAAUAUAGCCCUAAUUUAGUAAGUGUUGAGCUUGUACCGCUUAAAGUACGUGAAGAAAGUACGUUGCUUUUGGUGCUUAGGCCGGAGGGAUUUGGAUUCCAAGCAGUUUGGGCAGUCCUAUAAGAGUGAGUUAAAUUUAUGUAAUAUAAUAUAUAGUCGCAUUUGUAUAAUAAUGUAUAUCAAAUAUCAUUCAAAAUGCAUCAAUUUGCCAUACAAAUGCAUGUCAUUUGUAUAGGUCGUCCAAAUAUGCUAUCCAUUUUGAACGGUUUGGAAUCAAGACCUGACUUUCUUCCCAUUGUAGAUUACUCCAUAUUGUUUUCUACGUAGGACAGUAUUUCAGAUGAAUUCGGGAGUGGUUGUUCUUUUUGGUUUUAUUUAUUAGGAUUAAUUACAUAUUUUAGUACAUUUUUAAAAAUAAUUAUAAUAGUAGUGCAUCUAUAAAAUAAUUAUAAAAAUAAUACAUUUUUUCAUAUUUAUUUACAAUAUUAGUGCAAUUAGGAUUCUUUAAUUUAGGAGAAUAUUAGUGCAAUUAGAAUUCUUUAAUUUAGGGGAUUAGUAUUGGUGGUUUACUGUGUUGAAGGCAAACUAUAACAAAAUGAGUUUUGUGUGCAGCAGUACGAAGAAAGUUCAAACUUGCAUCUUGGUAAUACAACGACAAAGAAGGAUACCUCUCAGUACCUAAAACUGCUUUCUCUUGUUUCUCGGUUAAUACAUCGUCGUUCCGAUCAUCUUCUUCACCUUCGUAAGCUUCGUAUAUGAUCUCAAUGGCGCUCUCAUAUUCCACUCAACAAAAGAGUCGGCGUAGAACGGGUUUGGAUCAUACCCAGAUCCCGAAUUCGUAUCGCAUGAAUUCCAAAUGUGAUUAUCAUAAUUAUAAUCAUCCGUUAGUUGUUCUUGUUCCUGUUGUUGUAGUGAUAAUCAUCAUAUUCUCUCUUUCACCCACACCAAAUUGGCAGUUCAAACUUGCAUAUUGUCAAAAAGAUGGCAGCACAUCUGGGCAACUCUUUCCCAUCUGAAUUUGUACAAAUAUAAUUUCGGGAGUUGCGCUAAAUUUUCCCUAUUUCGUACUUUGAUUUUGUUGGAUAUCCAUAACCAUUUGUUAUGGUUAGUGAGUCUGUAAUGUUUAUUGAAGCUUAUGUAAAUGGGAU